AGAUGACAACCCAGCCCAUAAGCACCAGGAAAAUUAAGCAAAAAGCAGAAAGAAAAAAAGGAAAGAAGAAGUCUGGGAAUGAAGUUAUAUGCUUAAGGCCAUGCAUCUAGCAAAUGGCAAAAAAAUGGAUGAAGACACAGGACUGAUUGUCACUAAAAACCAUGUGGUGUGUUUGAGCAAGCCCUUCUCUAGAGAAGACCCAUAAAAUUUGACUCGUGAAGAGAGACAAAAAAAUUCAGGAGGCGAAAGUAAUAUGGGGAGAAAAUGAAAGAGAUUUAGUGCAGCUAUCAACCGACCGUUGUGCUGUCUUUAAGAGUCUGUUGAAACAACAUAAUAAAAGCUCAUUGACCCAGAAUUAGCAACAUGGCCCUUCCUAACUUGAAGGGACCAGGAAGAAUAGUCCUUCUAUGUGUCCCGAAGGAGAGAAGGACCAGAUAUGUGUGAUCAUGUCUCUAUUAUGGGAGAAAAGAGAAUUGAAAAGGAAAGAAGAUCCACAUAGUGUCGGAGGAGCUGAGACAAAAGAAAAGUAAGUCAUCUCAUUGAGCCUCAGUUUCUUCAUCUCUCAAAGAAAGAUGAACAUACCCACUGCACUAAGGGUGUCAUGAAGAUUACAUUAGAAAAAUGCACAUGAUAUCUUUAAAUCUCUUUGCCAAUAGCAAGACA